rnacentral:rRNA from 1 species
ACAGCAGUAGCCACGGUAAUACGUAGGGUGCAAGCGUUAAUCGGAAUUACUGGGCGUAAAGCGUGCGCAGGCGGUUAUAUAAGACAGAUGUGAAAUCCCCGGGCUCAACCUGGGAACUGCAUUUGUGACUGUAUAGCUAGAGUACGGCAGAGGGGGAUGGAAUUCCGCGUGUAGCAGUGAAAUGCGUAGAUAUGCGGAGGAACACCGAUGGCGAAGGCAAUCCCCUGGGCCUGUACUGACGCUCAUGCACGAAAGCGUGGGGAGCAAACAGGAUUAGAUACCCGCGUAGUCCCUGUCUCUUAUAC